AGAGACGCUGGCGGCGUGCCUAAUACAUGCAUGUCGAGCGAAUGGAUUAAGAGCUUGCUCUUAUGAAGUUAGCGGCGGACGGGUGAGUAACACGUGGGUAACCUGCCCAUAAGACUGGGAUAACUCCGGGAAACCGGGGCUAAUACCGGAUAACAUUUUGAACCGCAUGGUUCGAAAUUGAAAGGCGGCUUCGGCUGUCACUUAUGGAUGGACCCGCGUCGCAUUAGCUAGUUGGUGAGGUAACGGCUCACCAAGGCAACGAUGCGUAGCCGACCUGAGAGGGUGAUCGGCCACACUGGGACUGAGACACGGCCCAGACUCCUACGGGAGGCAGCAGUAGGGAAUCUUCCGCAAUGGACGAAAGUCUGACGGAGCAACGCCGCGUGAGUGAUGAAGGCUUUCGGGUCGUAAAACUCUGUUGUUAGGGAAGAACAAGUGCUAGUUGAAUAAGCUGGCACCUUGACGGUACCUAACCAGAAAGCCACGGCUAACUACGUGCCAGCAGCCGCGGUAAUACGUAGUGGCAAGCGUUAUCCGGAAUUAUUGGGCGUAAGCGCGCGCAGGUGGUUUCUUAAGUCUGAUGUGAAAGCCCACGGCUCAACCGUGGAGGGUCAUUGGGAAACUGGGGGACUUGACUGCAGAAAAGGAAGUGGAAUUCCUGUGUAGCGGUGAAAGGCG
rnacentral:rRNA from 1 species